UUGACCUCAAAUCAGGUAGGACUACCCGCUGAACUUAAGCAUAUCAAUAAGCGGAGGAAAAGAAACUAACAAGGAUUCCCCUAGUAACUGCGAGUGAAGCGGGAAAAGCUCAAAUUUGAAAUCUGACGGUUCUUGACYGUCCGAGUUGUAAUCUAGAGAAGUGUUACCUGUGCUGGACCGUGUUCAAGUCUCCUGGAAUGGAGCAUCAUAGAGGGUGAGAAUCCCGUCUUUGACAYGGACUGCCUGUACGUCGUGGUGCGCUCUCAAAGAGUCGAGUUGUUUGGGAAUGCAGCUCAAAAUGGGUGGUAAAUGCCAUCUAAAGCUAAAUAUUGGCGAGAGACCGAUAGCGAACAAGUACCGUGAGGGAAAGAUGAAAAGAACUUUGGAAAGAGAGUUAAACAGUACGUGAAAUUGCUGAAAGGGAAACGCUUGAAGUCAGUCGUGUCGGCCAGAAAUCAGCCUUGCUUUUGCCUGGUGUACUUUCUGGUUCGGUGGGUCAGCAUCAAUUUUGGCCAUCGGACAAAGUCUUUGGGAAUGUGGCAUCCUUGGAUGUGUUAUAGCCCAUUGUCGCAUACGGUGGUUGGGAUUGAGGAAUUCAGCACGCCUCGCAAGGGGCCGGGUAUUUUUACCACGUUCGUGCUUAGGAUGCUGGCAUAAUGGCUUUAAUCGACCCGU
rnacentral:rRNA from 1 species